rnacentral:rRNA from 1 species
UACGUAGGUGGCAAGCGUUGUCCGGAUUUACUGGGUGUAAAGGGCGUGUAGCCGGGCUGACAAGUCAGAUGUGAAAUCCGGGGGCUCAACCCCCGAACUGCAUUUGAAACUGUUGGUCUUGAGUAUCGGAGAGGCAGGCGGAAUUCCUAGUGUAGCGGUGAAAUGCGUAGAUAUUAGGAGGAACACCAGUGGCGAAGGCGGCCUGCUGGACGACAACUGACGGUGAGGCACGAAAGCGUGGGGAGCAAAUAGG